rnacentral:rRNA from 1 species
AGUGAACGCUGGCGGUAGGCCUAACACAUGCAAGUCGAACGGCAGCACAGGAGAGCUUGCUCUCUGGGUGGCGAGUGGCGGACGGGUGAGGAAUACAUCGGAAUCUACCUUUUCGUGGGGGAUAACGUAGGGAAACUUACGCUAAUACCGCAUACGACCCACGGGUGAAAGUGGGGGACCGCAAGGCCUCACGCGAUUAGAUGAGCCGAUGUCCGAUUAGCUAGUUGGCGGGGUAAUGGCCCACCAAGGCGACGAUCGGUAGCUGGUCUGAGAGGAUGAUCAGCCACACUGGAACUGGGACACGGACCAGACUCCUACGGGAGGCAGCAGUGGGGAAUAUUGGACAAUGGGCGCAAGCCUGAUCCAGCCAUACCGCGUGGGUGAAGAAGGCCUUCGGGUUGUAAAGCCCUUUUGUUGGGAAAGAAAUCCUAUCGGUUAAUAACCGGUGGGGAUGACGGUACCCAAAGAAUAAGCACCGGCUAACUUCGUGCCAGCCGCCGCCGUAACAC